UGAGGAGCGUGAGGCCACUUGGGAGUUGGAGUCCUCCAUGCGGGAGCGUUAUCCGCAUUUGUUUACGGGGGAUGUUUAAUUUAAGUUUCGGGGACGAAACUUUUUGUAAGGGGGGAAUGAUGUAAUAACUGAGAUUUUUCAUUUAUUGAUUAAACCCUUUAGUUUGACGAUGUUCUUGUGUGUAAUAUAUUUAUAAGUGUACUCGUCAAAUUUCAGGAGAAAACGAGUUAAAACGGAGAAGUUACGCGACCCGGAAGUUCGACUUAAGUGAAUAGUAACUCCGAUUUUCCGGAGAGGCCGCGGAGUAGAGUGGACUUUCGACGCGUAUCGGACUCCGAAU
rnacentral:lncRNA from 1 species